GCCUACGGGAGGCAGCAGUGAGGAAUAUUGGUCAAUGGCCGAGAGGCUGAACCGGCCAAGUCGCGUGAGGGAAGACGGCCCUACGGGUUGUAAACCUCUUUUGUCGGGGAGCAAAGCGAACCACGUGUGGUUAAUUGAGAGUACCCGAAGAAAAAGCAUCGGCUAACUCCGUGCCAGCAGCCGCGGUAAUACGGAGGAUGCGAGCGUUAUCCGGAUUUAUUGGGUUUAAAGGGUGCGCAGGCGGAGGUGCAAGUCAGAGGUCAAAUUGCG
rnacentral:rRNA from 1 species